UACGAGUGGUGCAAACGUUAUUCGGAAUCACUGGGCUUAAAGGGUGCGUAGGCGGCUACACAAGUCAGGUGUGAAAUCCCUCGGCUCAACCGAGGAAUUGAGCUUGAAACUGUGUGGCUCGAGGGAGACAGAGGUGAGCGGAACUGAUGGUGGAGCGGUGAAAUGCGUUGAUAUCAUCAGGAACACCGGUGGCGAAAGCGGCUCACUGGGUCUUUUCUGACGCUGAGGCAAGAAAGCUAGGGGAGCAAACGGG
rnacentral:rRNA from 1 species